UACGAAGGGUGCGAGCGUUGUUCGGAAUUAUUGGGCGUAAAGGGUUCGUAGGUUGGAAGGUAAGUCAAGUGUGAAAUCCCCGAGCUUAACUUGGGACGUGCACCUGAAACUGCUUUUCUUGAAUGUUGGAGAGGGUCGUAGAAUUGCUGGUGUAGGAGUGAAAUGCGUAGAUAUCAGGAGGAAUACCGAUGGCGAAGGCAGGUCUCUGGGCUGACACUGACGCUCAUGCACGAAAGCGUGGGGAGCAAACAGG
rnacentral:rRNA from 1 species